rnacentral:pre_miRNA from 14 species
UGCGUGUGUGUGUGUGUGUGUGUGUGUGUGUGUGUCCAUGUUGGGUGGGGUGGGGGGUGAGUGUGUAGGUGGGUGGAGUUCUCACACACACACACACACACACACACACACAAC